GGCAGGCUUAACACAUGCAAGUCGAGCGGGGAAAAGUAGCUUGCUACUUAACUUAGCGGCGGACGGGUGAGUAAUACUUAGGAAUCUGCCUAUUAGUGGGGGACAACAUUUCGAAAGGAAUGCUAAUACCGCAUACGUCCUACGGGAGAAAGCAGGGGAUCACUUGUGACCUUGCGCUAAUAGAUGAGCCUAAGUCGGAUUAGCUAGUUGGUGGGGUAAAGGCCUACCAAGGCGACGAUCUGUAGCGGGUCUGAGAGGAUGAUCCGCCACACUGGGACUGAGACACGGCCCAGACUCCUACGGGAGGCAGCAGUGGGGAAUAUUGGACAAUGGGGGGAACCCUGAUCCAGCCAUGCCGCGUGUGUGAAGAAGGCCUUUUGGUUGUAAAGCACUUUAGGCGAGGAGGAGGCUACUCUAGUUAAUACCUAGGGAUAGUGGACGUUACUCGCAGAAUAAGCACCGGCUAACUCUGUGCCAGCAGCCGCGGUAAUACAGAGGGUGCGAGCGUUAAUCGGAUUUACUGGGCGUAAAGCGUGCGUAGGUGGCCAAUUAAGUCAAAUGUGAAAUCCCCGAGCUUAACUUGGGAAUUGCAUUCGAUACUGGUUGGCUAGAGUAUGGGAGAGGAUGGUAGAAUUCCAGGUGUAGCGGUGAAAUGCGUAGAGAUCUGGAGGAAUACCGAUGGCGAAGGCAGCCAUCUGGCCUAAUACUGACACUGAGGUACGAAAGCAUGGGGAGCAAACAGGAUUAGAUACCCUGGUAGUCCAUGCCGUAAACGAUGUCUACUAGCCGUUGGGGUCUUUGAGACUUUAGUGGCGCAGCUAACGCGAUAAGUAGACCGCCUGGGGAGUACGGUCGCAAGACU
rnacentral:rRNA from 1 species